rnacentral:rRNA from 1 species
UACGGAGGGUGCAAGCGUUGCUCGGAAUUAUUGGGCGUAAAGGGUAGGUAGGUGGUCUUAUUUGUCUGGGGUGAAAGCCUUGAGCUUAACUCAAGAAGUGCCCCAGAAACGGUGAGACUAGAGUACUGGAGAGGGUCGUGGAAUUCCCGGUGUAGCGGUGAAAUGCGCAGAGAUCGGGAGGAACACCCGUAGCGAAGGCGGCGCUCUGGGCCGGUACUGACGCUGAGGAGCGAAAGCGUGGGGAGCGAACAGG